AUGCAUAAUUCCAUUUUCAAGAAAAAAAUUUCCAACAAUUUUAUUAAAAAAUUUAGUACUAUUGUCAGUUCUAAACACUUGUAUUUGGGUGUUAAACUGUGUCUGCACCAAUUUACAAAAGUUUUGAAUUAUUUGACCUACCUCAGAUUUUUCUUUCAACAAGUAUACUCAACAAAGUCUAGUAUGAUCAUCUGUGAAAGUGAUAAACUAUUUUUUGCUGGAUAA